rnacentral:rRNA from 1 species
AACGAACGCUGGCGGCAGGCCUAACACAUGCAAGUCGAACGAAGCCUUCGUGCUUAGUGGCGCUCGGGUGCGUAGCGCGUGGGAAUCUGCCCCUUGCCUCGGAAUAAUAGUUAGAAAUGACGGCUAAUAUCGGAUGAAGUCUUCUGACAAAAGAUUUAUCGGCAAGGGAUGAGCGCGCGUAGUAUAAGGUAGGUGGUGGGGUAAGGGCCUACCAAGGCGACGUUCCUUAGCUGGUCAGAGAGGAUGAUCAGCCACACUGGGAGUAGGAAACGGUGCAGAAUACUACGCGAGGCAGCAGUGGCGAAUCCAGGACUAUGGAGGGAAGUCUGAAGCAGCAAUGCCGCGUGAGUGCUGAAGGCGUUAGAGAUGUAAAGCACUUUUACCACGCAUGAUACUGACAGUACCUGGAGAAUAAGCACCGGCUAACUUCGUG